rnacentral:rRNA from 1 species
AACGAACGCUGGCGGCAGGCCUAAUACAUGCAAGUCGAGCGGACUUUCCGGAGUUAUUGCACUCCGGGAGGGUAGCGGCGGACGAGGGGGUAACACGUAGGCAACCUGCCCAUGAGACCGGGAUAACAUUCGGAAACGAAUGCUAAGACCGGGUAGACGGGCUUCUGGCACGGCGGGAGCGGGAAAGGCGGGGCAAUCUGGCGCUGGCGGAUGGGCCUGCGGCGCAUUAGCUAGUUGGUGGGGUAACGGCGUACCAAGGCGACGAUGCGUAGCCGAUCUGAGAGGGUGAUCGGCCACCCUGGGAGUGAGACACGGCCCAGACUCCUACGGGAGGCAGCAGUAGGGAAUCUUCCGCAAUGGAGGCAAGUCUGACGGAGCAACGCCGCGUGAGUGAGGAAGGCCUUCGGGUCGUAAAGCUCUGUUGCCAGGGAAGAACGGGAGGGGGAGUAACUGCCAUUGUCAUGACGGUACCUGAAGAGAAAGCCCCGGCUAACUCCGUG